rnacentral:rRNA from 1 species
AUUGAACGCUGGCGGCAGGCCUAACACAUGCAAGUCGAACGAGUGGCGGACGGGUGAGUAAUGUCUGGGAAACUGCCUGAUGGUGGGGGAUAACUACUGGAAACGGUAGCUAAUACCGCAUACCAUCGGAUGUGCGCAGAUGGGAUUAGCUAGUAGGUGGGGUAAAGGCUCACCUAGGCGACGAUCCCUAGAUGGUCUGAGUGGAUGACAAGGCACAAUAGAACUGAUACACGGUCCAGACUCCUACGUGAGGCAGCUGUGGGGAAUAUUGCACAAGUGGCGCGAGCCUAGUACAGCCAUGCCGCGUGUAGUAAGAAGGCCUUCGGGUUGUAGAGUACUUGCAGCGGGGAGGCGUUACCCGCAGAAGAAGCACCGGCUAACUCCGUGCCAGCAGCCGCGGUAAUAC